rnacentral:misc_RNA from 1 species
AUCGACUUAGUUUUCCCUGUCCGGCUCUCUCAGUUUGUUGUGUGUGAUCUCCUUGCCGCUUUUUAAACACCCAUGCAUUGCCGCCAAAGGACAUUGGUCGGCUGGAAACUUGAGCCGAACGGAGUUGAUGCCUCUCCCUUCUCAAAAUCGCUCGUUCUACAAUUCGCUCAUUCAGUUUUCACAGCACAAAAACCUCCAAAAAGGCCGGGCUCUCCACGCUCAGAUAAUAAAAGGCGCUUCUUCCUCUUCUUGCAUAUACCUUGCCAACAGUCUCGUCAAUUUCUAUGCCAAAUGCGGGCAUUUACCCAAAGCCAAGCUCGUAUUCGAACAAAUUCGUGACAAAGAUGUGGUCUCGUGGAAUUGCCUUAUCAAUGGCUACUCCCAACAUGGCCCUGCAGGCUCCUCCAUUGUCAUGGAUUUGUUUCAGCGUAUGAGAGCAGAGAACACGUUCCCGAAUGCUCACACUUUUUCUGGCGUUUUCAAUGCCGCUUCAAACUUGUCCUGCAGUUUGGGCGGCCAGCAGGCCCACGCUCUUGCCAUCAAAGCGGCUGGUUUUUAUGAUGUUUUUGUUGGGAGUUCUCUCCUUAACAUGUACUGUAAAGCGGGUCUACUUUUGGAGGCUCGCAAGGUGUUUGAUAGAAUGCUUGAGAGGAACGCUGUUACAUGGGCUACCAUGAUUUCUGGUUAUGCAAUUCAACGGCUGGCUGGAGAUGCUUUGAGGCUUUUUGAAUGGAUGCGUAGAGAAGAUGAGGAUUUGAAUGAGUAUGUGUUCACUAGUGUGCUUAGUGCUUUGGCCAUUCCUGAAUUCAUUGAUAGUGGCAAACAGAUACAUUGCCUAGCGGUUAAAAGCGGUCUGCUAGCAUUUGUUUCUACUUUAAACGCACUUGUUACCAUGUAUGCUAAAUGUGGGAGCUUAAACGAUUCUCUUCAAGUGUUUGAGAUGUCAAGUGCUAAGGAUUCUAUCACAUGGUCAGCUAUGAUCACUGGUUAUGCUCAAAGUGGAGAUUCUCAAAAGGCUCUGAAGCUCUUCUCUAAGAUGCAUUUUUCUGGGAUAAAGCCCAGUGAGUUUACCGUUGUUGGCGUUCUUAAUGCUUGCAGUGAUAUUGGUGCUGGUGAAGAAGGAAAGCAAGUGCAUAACUAUUUAUUGAAGUUGGGAUUUGAGUUCCAAAUGUACAUAAUGACAGCUUUGGUUGACAUGUAUGCCAAAUGUGGCUGUACAGCAGAUGCUCAGAAAGGUUUUGAUUAUUUACAAGAACCUGAUAUUGUUCUGUGGACAUCCAUGAUCGCAGGUUAUGUACAAAAUGGGGAGAAUGAAGAUGCUUUAAGCUUGUAUGGUAGAAUGCAGAUGGAAGGGAUUUUGCCCAAUGAUCUAACAAUGGCCAGUGUCUUAAAAGCAUGUUCAAGCCUUGCUGCUCUGGAUCAAGGAAGACAGAUUCAUGCCCGCACUAUUAAGUAUGGACUCAGUCUGGAAGUACCAGUUGGAAGUGCUCUUUCAACCAUGUAUGCAAAAUGUGGGAGUCUAGAUGAGGGAAACUUUGUAUUUAAAAGGAUGCCAGAGAGAGAUACGGUCUCAUGCAAUGCAAUGAUAUCUGGACUUUCUCAAAAUGGGUAUGGUAAAGAAGCUCUAGAUCUCUUUGAGGAAAUGCGACUAGACGGCACAAAGCCAGAUGCUGUCACAUUUGUGAAUGUUCUCUCUGCUUGUAGCCACAUGGGAUUGGUGGAGAAAGGGUGGGCGUACUUCAAAAUGAUGUUUGAUGAAUUUGGUAUGGUUCCAAGAGUAGAGCACUAUGCCUGUAUGGUUGAUGUCCUGAGUCGUGCAGGGAAACUUAAGGAAGCAAAAGAAUUUAUUGAGUCAGCAACCAUAGACCAUGGCUUGUGUUUAUGGCGCAUUUUAUUAAGUGCCUGUCGGAAUUACCGAAACUAUGAAUUAGGUGCCUAUGCAGGUGAGAAACUAAUGGCGUUGGGCUCACAAGAAUCAUCUGCUUAUGUGUUGUUAUCAAGUAUCUACACUGCCUUGGGCAGGCCUGAAGAUGUGGAACGAGUCAGGAGCAUGAUGAGAGUUCGAGGAGUGAGUAAGGAGCCUGGGUGUAGCUGGAUUGAACUCAAGAGUCAUGUUCAUGUAUUUGUCGUUGGGGACCAAAUACAUCCACAUAUUAGAGAAAUACGAUUAGAGAUACGAAGGUUGAGCAAACAAAUAAAGGAUGAAGGUUACCAACCAGCUUCUGAUUUGCUUUUAUGACUUUAUUUAGUUGAUCAGGUAUACCCAGUAAUUCACUUCAUUCUUUGGCUAUAAAAUUAUGGCCUCUUUUUAAAUGAAUUCUUCAAUUAUAGGGUCAAGAAUUAGAUUUUAUUAAUUUGUAAGUCCUUUUU